GUCAGUAACCCCAGCCCUAAAGGGACUGGGCUUGCAAGAGUAAUCAAGCAAGCCGUACUGACCAGACCACCCUGAGUUUACUCUCAUGGUAGCCGUUAUUUGAGUCACGACACCCCGGAAUGCGAAGCUAGUUCCCUGCUCUGUCGCUUGUGAUUAAACAGUUCUAAGGUCACUGGAACAGUGUUGCAAGCCUAACAAGCUCUUAUAACAGGUCGAAGCUAACAUUAC
rfam:Aphanizomenon flos-aquae 2012/KM/D3 mira_331_len:4542, whole genome shotgun sequence.